AGUUGUUCACUGGAGGCUAGAAGAACAAAGAAGAGACAUUGGUGCAAGCAGCUCAGUAAGGUGUGAAUUCACAAGGCGUUAUCCCAUGGUUGAGAAUUUCUCAAGUCCUAGGUCUCAAAGUUUCUCUCUAAUAAUCCAAUAGGUGGACAUGACAUAAGUUCCUUUCUUUUCUUUGUAUUGGCUUCAUCCUGUUGUUAUAAAUGAAAGUAGUUGUUGAGCUAGUUACUCGUAGACAAAACUUGGUUCACAGGUACAUUUGCAGUUCUCCUAAUAUUAUAACAAUAUACGAAAUGGUUCUGCCCAUUGACUUCUCUUG